ACCCAGUUCAGACUUUUGUUUUGACAUGCUUUUACUUUGUUUAUCCCAAUAAUGGUACAAUAGGUUGUGGAAGUGCUUUGAUAAUAGGCUUUAAUCUUCUUUGCCGAGGCGGAUCACAAUUUUAAGUCCACGGUUGUGGAGUACUGGACCCGUUCCCAUCUUGUGACAAGUAGUGCACGCAAAGGACAUGUACAUAGGUGUAAUGUGGUCUCUAUUUAAAAGAGUCGGGUCUUCUACUGUUGCAGCCUGUAGCUUAAGCCUUACCUUCCAUUGUUAUAUAUCUAGACAUUACAUGAAAGUAAGUAUUAUCUACUGUGAAGAUGAAGAAAUUGGGAAGCACAUAGCAUAAUACACAAGUAGCAUAAAGUGUGAACUUCAUGCAACCAAGGUAGUGGCCUAGUGAUCAAUGAGGUAGAUGCACGAAUCACAGCUUAGACAAAAAAAAACUAGGCUAUUUUUCCAUCUUCUUAAGCCUUGGUGGACAGAGUGCCCAGUACCUGUGAUGGUGGGAGGUUGCAGUAUCGGGUAGAAUUGUUGAGGUGUGCACAAGCUAACUCAGACGCUACAAUUAUCAAAUAAGAAAACAGUGCGGACAUCAUGCUAUUAUGGGUUUUAUUUAUCCCUCUUGUCUUGAUAGAAAAAAGUAUGGGCCAUUAUUAUACCUGUUUUUUUGAUAAGGUAUCAUUACUGUAAUACCUUAUCAAAAGUUUGACCUACAAAUGUGAAAUGGACCUACAAAAGUUUGACUGGGACUAUUAAAAGCUUCAAAUGGUAGCAUUUUUGAGUAGAAGGUACUCUAACACUUAAAUUUUAUAUUCUAAAGUUGGCUCUUUAGAACCAGCAUAUCUGUUAGUGUGAACAGACACAUAGACAUGGAUUGUAAUGUAAGGAUUAAUAAUGUUUGGAUUCUAAUUAAGUAUUAAUAAUUUAGAUGGUAAUGACGGUGCUAAUUCUCAA